rnacentral:rRNA from 1 species
GGAUUAGAUACCCUGGUAGUCCACGCCCUAAACGAUGAGUGCUAGAUAUUGGGAGAUUUUCUUUCAGUUUCGUAGUUAACGCGUUAAGCACUCCGCCUGGGGAGUACGGUCGCAAGAUUAAAACUCAAAGGAAUUGACGGGGGCUCGCACAAGCGGUGGAGCAUGCGGUUUAAUUCGAUGUUACGCGAAAAACCUUACCAACCCUUGACAUGGUGAUUUUGAAAGUAGAGAUAUUUUCUUCAGUUCGGCUGGGUCAUCACAGGUGUUGCAUGGCUGUCGUCAGCUCGUGCCG